GAUGAACGCUGGCGGCGUGCCUAAUACAUGCAAGUCGAGCGAACGGACGAGAAGCUUGCUUUUCUGAUGUUAGCGGCGGACGGGUGAGUAACACGUGGAUAACCUACCUAUAAGACUGGGAUAACUUCGGGAAACCGGAGCUAAUACCGGAUAAUAUUUUGAACCGCAUGAUUCAAAAGUGAAAGACGGUCUUGCUGUCACUUAUAGAUGGAUCCGCGCUGCAUUAGCUAGUUGGUAAGGUAACGGCUUACCAAGGCAACGAUGCAUAGCCGACCUGAGAGGGUGAUCGGCCACACUGGAACUGAGACACGGUCCAGACUCCUACGGGAGGCAGCAGUAGGGAAUCUUCCGCAAUGGGCGAAAGCCUGACGGAGCAACGCCGCGUGAGUGAUGAAGGUCUUCGGAUCGUAAAACUCUGUUAUUAGGGAAGAACAUAUGUGUAAGUAACUGUGCACAUCUUGACGGUACCUAAUCAGAAAGCCACGGCUAACUACGUG
rnacentral:rRNA from 1 species